rnacentral:rRNA from 1 species
CGGAAGGUUCGGGCGUUAUCCGGAUUUAUUGGGUUUAAAGGGAGCGUAGGCCGUUUGGUAAGCGUGUUGUGAAAUGUAGUAGCUCAACUUCUAGAUUGCAGCGCGAACUGUCAGACUUGAGUGCGCACAACGUAGGCGGAAUUCAUGGUGUAGCGGUGAAAUGCUUAGAUAUCAUGAAGAACUCCGAUUGCGAAGGCAGCUUACGGGAGCGCAACUGACGCUGAAGCUCGAAGGUGCGGGUAUCGAACAGGAUU